rnacentral:rRNA from 1 species
AACGAACGCUGGCGGCGUGGAUAAGACAUGCAAGUCGAACGGGGCAUUUCAGGUAGCAAUAUUUGGGAUGUUCAGUGGCGAACGGGUGCGUAACACGUGGAUAACAUUCCGGGAAGCGGGGGAUAGCCCAGGGAAACUUGGAUUAAUACCGCAUGUGGUCGAGAGACUAAAGGUGGGGACCGCAAGGCCUGCCACUUCCCGAUUGGUCCGCGGCCUAUCAGCUAGUUGGUGAGGUAAUGGCUCACCAAGGCUACGACGGGUAGCUGGUCUUAGAGGACGACCAGCCACACUGGAACUGAGACACGGUCCAGACACCUACGGGAGGCAG